rnacentral:rRNA from 1 species
GCGGCGUGCUUCAUACGUGCAAGUCGAACGAGAAGCAGGAGCUUGCUCCUGUGGAAAGUGGCGGACGGGUGAGUAACACGUAGGAAAUCUGCCCUUGGGUGGGGGACAACAGUUGGAAACGACUGCUAAUACCCCAUAUGAGCUUGGUUGCAAUACCAAUCUUGAAAACUCCGGUGCCUAAAGAUGAGCCUGCGUCUGAUUAGCUUGUUGGCGGGGUAAUGGCCCACCAAGGCGACGAUCAGUAGCUGGUUUGAGAGGAUGAUCAGCCACAAUGGGACUGAGACACGGCCCAUACUCCUACGGGAGGCAGCAGUAGGGAAUUGUGCGCAAGGGGGGAAACCCUGACGCAGCAACGCCGCGUGAAUGACGAAGCCCUUCGGGGUGUAAAGUUCUGUCAGUAGGGAAGAAUUUUGACUGUACCUACAAAGGAAGCACCGGCUAACUCCGUGCCAGCCGCCGCAGUAA